GUUAAGUGGUUAUAAGAGAAAAUCUGUAACAAAGGCUAACAAGCAAAGGAAACAGCAAGGAUAUUGAAAAAAAAAAGAGAAAAUCAAGAGAUGUAUGGAUAAAAUAGACAUCAUCCAAGCUACCACAGGAUUUCCGAAUUUGAAGCAUUUGGAUGAUGUAGCCUGACACCUCCCAAUUCACUAACCUUCCUGUCUAAGAAGAGUAGACAGUGUGGUCUAAUUGAUUCCAGAGUUCUUGGCGGUGAAGCCUAUCAUACUUCAGAUGAAUGGUGUAGAAGUCAUGUUUCCAUGAUGCUCUGAGAUUUUAUCCAUCACCAUGAAAGAACAUACCCAG
rnacentral:lncRNA from 1 species